rnacentral:tRNA from 1 species
GGACAGGUAGCGAAGUGGCCAAACGCAGCUGACUGUAAAUCAGCCACCUAGGUUUCGUUGGUUCGAAUCCAACCCUGUCCACCA